AUUUAUAUAGUUUAAAAUAAAACAAUACAUUUUCAUUGUAUAAAUAAUAUAAAUA
rnacentral:tRNA from 1 species